AGUGAACGCUGGCGGUAGGCCUAACACAUGCAAGUCGAACGGCGGCACAGUAAGAGCUUGCUCUUACGGGUGGCGAGUGGCGGACGGGUGAGGAAUACAUCGGAAUCUACUUUUUCGUGGGGGAUAACGUAGGGAAACUUACGCUAAUACCGCAUACGACCUACGGGGGAAAGCAGUGGAUCUUCGGACCUUGCGCGAUUGAAUGAGCCGAUGUCGGAUUAGCUAGUUGGCGGGGUAAAGGCCCACCAAGGCGACGAUCCGUAGCUGGUCUGAGAGGAUGAUCAGCCACACUGGAACUGAGACACGGUCCAGGCUCCUACGGGAGGCAGCAGUGGGGAAUAUUGGACAAUGGGCGCAAGCCUGAUCCAGCCAUACCGCGUGGGUGAAGAAGGCCUUCGGGUUGUAAAGCCCUUUUGUUGGGAAAGAAAAGCAGCAGGUUAAUACCACGCUGUUCUGACGGUACCCAAAGAAUAAGCACCGGCUAACUUCGUG
rnacentral:rRNA from 1 species